AGCGAACGUUAGCGGCGGGCCUAACACACGCAAGUCGAACGCGAAAGGUCUUCGGACUGAGUAGAGUGGCGCACGGGUGAGUAACACGUAGGUAAUCUACCCUUUGGCGGGGGAUAACGUUCCGAAAGGAGCGCUAAUACCGCAUAAGACCACGUGGUCUCCGGACCGAGUGGGAAAAGGUGGCCUCUUCUUGAAAGCUACCACCGAAGGAUGAGCCUGCGUCCCAUCAGCUAGUUGGUAAGGUAAUGGCUUACCAAGGCGAAGACGGGUAGCUGGUUUGAGAGAAUGAUCAGCCACACUGGCACUGGAACACGGGCCAGACUCCUACGGGAGGCAGCAGUGAGGAAUAUUGGGCAAUGGGCGAAAGCCUGACCCAGCCACGCCGCGUGAGUGAUGAAGGCCCUCGGGUCGUAAAGCUCUGUGGAGAGGGACGAAAACCCUAGUUUAAAUAGGCUCUAGGCUUGACGGUACCUCUUUAGUCAAGCACCGGCUAACUCUGUGCCACGCAGCCGCGGUAAAG
rnacentral:rRNA from 1 species